UCUCCCUAGAAUUUCGUGACAGAGGAUUUAUAAGUAUUUGCAAAAGAGCUUCUGAUAUCGGUAGAAGCGCAUCAACUUUUAUAACAAUCUGCUACUUAAUAAAUGAUGAAUUUAGAACUCACAAAAUAUUUCUGAAACUUUUAAGAAACUGUGUCGUAUAAUUGAGGAAACUGCAAUUGCGCCAAAAGUAUUUCUAAAACGUAAACAUUUUAUAUAAAUACUUUAUAAUUUAAUGCAUCUAUUUUAAUAUGGUGGUCGAAAACUUGUUGUACCAAAUUUCUAUCACUACUGCUUGCGUUGCAAUCUUUUCUAUCGCAAUCAUUGCAAUAUGGUUCCAUACAAUAUUCAAGCCAGAUUAUCGACCUGGGAAAUCAUCAAUGCCUUUUCUAUGGUACCAAAUGACAUCUGGCAUUCAUGGCCACUGCAGAAAAGGAAUUGCCAUGGAUGCUACUUAUAUUCGCUAUACUCUGGAUGGAAUGUGCUCAGUGCUGGAUCGCCAGAAAAUAUUCAAUUUAAAUAUAUGAGGAAGAAACUACGUAUUCCUCUUUAAGGCGGACGCAAUUGAGACAAUCCUAAGCAACACUAAAUACAUUAAAAAAUCUCAAGAUUAUGGACCUUUAAAGCCGAUGCUGAUGGAUGGGCUUCU